AAAUAUGGGUCGGGUACCAAUCAAUGGGUCAUGGAGUGAAGGAUAAAUGAACCAUUUUAUUUAAAAGGCAUCACUGCAGGAUACUGUCCUACGUUAACUGGUGACCACGCCCACUUCCUCUUGUCUCCACUUCAAUGAAACUCGCAGCAGAACGACAUUUUGUUUUUGUUUUUUUAUUUGAAGCUAAAUUAGGUUGGAUUUUGUUUCACAGGAAGAGAAGAAUAAAGAGGAGGAGGAGGAAAGUGACUCUUCUGGUUCUGAAGACGGAGAGGAGAAAGGAAAAGGCGGGAAGGGGAAGAAGAAGGGACACGGGAAAGAGAAAGGUGGACAAGGCAAGGGCAAAGAAAAGAAGGAGAAGCGCGGUGGUGGUCCGAAGUGAUGGACCUAAAAAUCAACGUUGUUUUCAAUCAUAAUUCUGUGACAAUAAAGAAAAGUUGAAAAAAAAAAAAGAGACUGCUUCACUGUGACUGAAUAUUUGCUCUGAAUUAAUACAACAUUUAAACAUAAACAUCUUUAUAAACAUCUCUCCUGCGGUGAUAGCUAACAGUGAAGGCCUACGCUGCUGUAUUCGUAUCUACGAACCUCCCCCCGCACUGUUAUCAACCCUCCC